CAUGAUCGGGCGACAAUGAAGGAGGGCAUUGGAUCGCACGGGAGAAGGAGGAAGGAAUUUGCGGAGGAAUUGUUGUCUCGUCUCACGGUGCAGGACAAAGAGGAGGAUGAUUUCAUCUAGGAGGAGGAGCUGCCGGACAUGGUGGAGCCGGCAAAGUGGCUAGCGAUUGCACACAUUCACACUGCCAAAAUCUUCAGCCCUAAUGUGUUGUACGGAAACAUGAGGGCGGUCUCGAAUCCGGCAAAACAGGUAGUCUAGAGGAGAAUCAAAGAAAAUCUAUUCGCGGCUAAAUUUGGGUGCCUCGUGAAUGGACCAAGGCGAUGCUCGAGGGGCCAUUACGAUGAAGUGUGUUGGUCGUAUUUUACAUAGCGUUGCAUGGUUUUGAGGUUUUAAAUACGAGGGACGCGGAUGUGAAAGCCAAUAUACGAGACGUGUCCUAUGAGUGCCCGCAAACGUGUCUCCGUACGUCCCCGAGUAUUUGAAGGUUUGAAUUUGCUAUGUCUGGUCGUUGUAGAUGCUGUAAGGCCAGUUUUUUGUGUGUCUAGGAUAGUCCUAUCAAGAUGUUGGUUGCCAUUUUUUUUUUUUUGAGGUUUUGCCGUUUUGCUAAAGAAACCUUCAUGGCUUCAUCCAAACAAAGGCCAAUGUUUUGGUCAUGACGAAACUAUUGACAAUGUAAUACCAUCCAAACAGCCCCUGAUUCGUGGUGCUAUGCUUACUUUACUCCUAGCUAGUCUUGUCAGAGAACUGAGAUAAUGUGCGGUGUUGCGUCUGUGUUGGUGAACCAUCUACUUGUUCUUCUGUCGUCUAGGCGAAGUUACAGUGUUGCCAGGUUUUUGCCCCGCAGCGUUCCGAUUGCCGGCAUGAGCACCAGGUUUCCUGGCAAACGGAGUGGAGCUCGAUCGGCUAGAUCAGCUGGCUGCUCUCGCACAUGACGCUCCACGAGUCCAGCGUCGGGUAGCACGGCAGCUGCAGCUGCUGCUGGUGGCGAUUGAGCGCCGCCGCGUCGGCGUCCGACGGCAGCCGCAGCGCNNNNNNN
rnacentral:lncRNA from 1 species